AGCUCUUCUACCUUGCGAGGGCACAUGGCAUGGCUGGGGCAGCUCCCGCAGCAGCACCUUCCUCAUCAGAGGAGAGGAUGAUCCCACAGGCUGUAGCCAUUUCACUGCAUGGAGCAGCAGCUGGUGUGCUACAGCUCUCCCUGGGAAAAAGACUGAGCAUAAUGUUAUGAUCCCUUCUGAAUAUCUUGCUGCUGGCAUAACUGCAACAUGUACCGCUGAGCUGUGUUUUUGCUGUUGUGGUCUAACAAGCUGGAGGGAAAGCAACUCACUUUCAAAAGUUUCCUGUCACUAUUUUAAGUGUUCUUUCCUCUGGGAAGAUAGUAUUAAUGUAGAAUGAUGCCUGAUUUCUUGUUUCUGACACUUGAUCAUCCCCAGAAUGUUUCUCUCCCCAAUGGCAAAGUUGUUACAUUUCUCUGAAACCCCACUCCUGUGGUACACCACAUGCCUAGAUCUCAAGCCACAUGGCAGAUCCAAUAUACUUCCAGCCUAGGAGAUUACAAGAAGAUGUGUAUUUUUAAUA